rnacentral:rRNA from 1 species
UCGACGGUAAGGCUCCAGCUUGCUGGGGUACACGAGUGGCGAACGGGUGAGUAACACGUGGGUGACCUGCCCUGCACUUCGGGAUAAGCCUGGGAAACUGGGUCUAAUACCGGAUAGGACCGCACCGUGAGGGUGUGGUGGAAAGUUUUUUCGGUGUGGGAUGGGCCCGCGGCCUAUCAGCUUGUUGGUGGGGUAAUGGCCUACCAAGGCGGCGACGGGUAGCCGGCCUGAGAGGGUGGACGGCCACAUUGGGACUGAGACACGGCCCAGACUCCUACGGGAGGCAGCAGUGGGGAAUAUUGCACAAUGGGCGGAAGCCUGAUGCAGCGACGCCGCGUGGGGGAUGACGGCCUUCGGGUUGUAAACUCCUUUCACCAUCGACGAAGGGUUUCUGACGGUAGAUGGAGAAGAAGCACCGGCUAACUACGUGCCAGCAGCCGCGGUAAUACGUAGGGUGCGAGCGUUGUCCGGAAUUACUGGGCGUAAAGAGCUCGUAGGUGGUUUGUCGCGUCGUCUGUGAAAUUCCGGGGCUUAACUCCGGGCGUGCAGGCGAUACGGGCAUAACUUGAGUACUGUAGGGGAGACUGGAAUUCCUGGUGUAGCGGUGAAAUGCGCAGAUAUCAGGAGGAACACCGGUGGCGAAGGCGGGUCUCUGGGCAGUAACUGACGCUGAGGAGCGAAAGCAUGGGGAGCGAACAGGAUUAGAUACCCUGGUAGUCCAUGCCGUAAACGGUGGGCGCUAGGUGUGGGUUUCCUUCACGGGAUCCGUGCCGUAGCUAACGCAUUAAAGCGCCCGCCUGGGGAGUACGGCC